GGUGGCUUAGUGGUAGAGUGCUUGCCUUGCAUGCAGGAAGCCCUGGGUUCGAUUCCUCAGUACCA
rnacentral:tRNA from 1 species